GGCGUGCCUAAUACAUGCAAGUCGAACGAGUUCUCGUUGAUGAUCGGUGCUUGCACCGAGAUUCAACAUGGAACGAGUGGCGGACGGGUGAGUAACACGUGGGUAACCUGCCCUUAAGUGGGGGAUAACAUUUGGAAACAGAUGCUAAUACCGCAUAGAUCCAAGAACCGCAUGGUUCUUGGCUGAAAGAUGGCGUAAGCUAUCGCUUUUGGAUGGACCCGCGGCGUAUUAGCUAGUUGGUGAGGUAAUGGCUCACCAAGGCGAUGAUACGUAGCCGAACUGAGAGGUUGAUCGGCCACAUUGGGACUGAGACACGGCCCAAACUCCUACGGGAGGCAGCAGUAGGGAAUCUUCCACAAUGGACGCAAGUCUGAUGGAGCAACGCCGCGUGAGUGAAGAAGGCUUUCGGGUCGUAAAACUCUGUUGUUGGAGAAGAAUGGUCGGCAGAGUAACUGUUGUCGGCGUGACGGUAUCCAACCAGAAAGCCACGGCUAACUACGUGCCAGCACCGCGGUAAUACGUAGGUGGCAAGCGUUAUCCGGAUUUAUUGGGCGUAAAGCGAGCGCAGGCGGUUUUUUAAGUCUGAUGUGAAAGCCCUCGGCUUAACCGAGGAAGCGCAUCGGAAACUGGGAAACUUGAGUGCAGAAGAGGACAGUGGAACUCCAUGUGUAGCGGUGAAAUGCGUAGAUAUAUGGAAGAACACCAGUGGCGAAGGCGGCUGUCUGGUCUGUAACUGACGCUGAGGCUCGAAAGCAUGGGUAGCGAACAGGAUUAGAUACCCUGGUAGUCCAUGCCGUAAACGAUGAAUGCUAGGUGUUGGAGGGUUUCCGCCCUUCAGUGCCGCAGCUAACGCAUUAAGCAUUCCGCCUGGGGAGUACGACCGCAAGGUUGAAACUCAAAGGAAUUGACGGGGGCCCGCACAAGCGGUGGAGCAUGUGGUUUAAUUCGAAGCAACGCGAAGAACCUUACCAGGUCUUGACAUCUUUUGAUCACCUGAGAGAUCAGGUUUCCCCUUCGGGGGCAAAAUGACAGGUGGUGCAUGGUUGUCGUCAGCUCGUGUCGUGAGAUGUUGGGUUAAGUCCCGCAACGAGCGCAACCCUUAUGACUAGUUGCCAGCAUUUAGUUGGGCACUCUAGUAAGACUGCCGGUGACAAACCGGAGGAAGGUGGGGAUGACGUCAAAUCAUCAUGCCCCUUAUGACCUGGGCUACACACGUGCUACAAUGGAUGGUACAACGAGUUGCGAGACCGCGAGGUCAAGCUAAUCUCUUAAAGCCAUUCUCAGUUCGGACUGUAGGCUGCAACUCGCCUACACGAAGUCGGAAUCGCUAGUAAUCGCGGAUCAGCACGCCGCGGUGAAUACGUUCCCGGGCCUUGUACACACCGCCCGUCACACCAUGAGAGUUUGUAACACCCGAAGCCGGUGGCGUAACCCUUUUAGGGAGCGAGCCGUCUAAGGUGGGACAAAUGAUUAGGGUGAAGUCGUAACAAGGUAGCCGU
rnacentral:rRNA from 1 species